ensembl:snRNA U6 U6 spliceosomal RNA
GUGAUUGUUUUAGUAGCACAAAUACUAAAUUGCAAUUAUAUAGGCAAUAUUCGCAUGAUAUCUGUGCAAGAAUGACACACAUUCCUGAAGUGUUUCAUAUUUUU